UGUUGACGCCAGACGCGAGGCGAGACGCGCACUCACAGCAGUAGCGGACGGUGAUGGGUGAUUGAGCUCUGCUGACUUCUGUCAGCUUUUGAUUCUGACCAGAUUUUCUGAUUCAAACCAAAGCAGGGGAAUGUCUUCUUACAAACGUACUUCAUCUCCUUUCCUUAAAAUAGCAAAAAAGUUUAAUUGUUUUUACAUUAAUGGACUUCCCAAAAGACACUGCAAGCCAUUUGUUGUUGAGGGCCAUCAGGUUGGACUUGUACGACCUGAUAUUAUGGUUGAACUGCUUCGUUAUCCUGAAGUCUUCAUUGUAAGGCCUGAUUCAGUUGAACUCAACCCUGCUUUUCGUGACUUUGAUGAAAGAACUGCUCGUGUAGAGCAGGUUCUCCAGGAAUGCCGAGCAAAUAACACAUUUGUGACCCUUAAGGGAUGGAGGAAUGAGUGUUACAAUGUGCACUCAGUUUUAACUGAUCCGCCACUCCUCCGCAUGGACCGAUCUGCAACUUGCUUGUUUGGUAUUCGCAAUUAUGGUGUAACUAUUAAUGGCUUUGUCCAUGAUGCAACAAGAGGUCUAUGUUUGUGGCUUCAACGACGAUCUCCUACUAAAGAGACUUGGCCUGGCAAAUGGGACAAUAUGGUGAGUGGAGGAUUAAGUGUUGGAUAUGGAGUUAUUGAAACUGCUAUCAAAGAGGCCCAAGAGGAGGCAGGCAUACCAGAGACAAUGCUGAAAGAUAUAAGACCUUCUGGUGCAGUGUCGUUCUUUUUUGAAAGUGAGCGUGGACUGUUUCCCAAUACAGAGUAUGUAUUUGAUUUGAAAUUGCCUUGCGAGUUCAUCCCUAAAAACAAUGACGGGGAAGUUGAGACUUUCGACCUCUUGUCCAUCAAUGAACUUAAGGAAAUAAUUGCUUCUCCCGACUUUAAGACGACAAGCUCACCAAUUGUGAUAGACUUCCUUGUACGCCAUGGAGUGAUCUCCCCCGAGACUGGUGGGUUGGGUAGUCUCCAAGAACCUAACUAUGCUCAGCUGCUUGAACUUCUUCACGUUCCUCUUCAGUCAAUAUAUCAUCGUGCACCUCCCUCUGAGAAUGGAGAUAAAGUUCUUUGACUUACUGGCAAUUAAUGUAACUGGAUCAUGGAGAUAUAAAGGUGAGGGCAAGUUCUUACCCCGUUAUGUCCAUCAGAACUAGUGCCUUGGCAGAGGAGGAAGAACUUCUUGAAGAAGGAAUUAUAGUCAUAAACCCCAGCCAAAAGUAUAGGUCCAAAAGAACAUUCCCGUUUUACUGCUUCCCAUUUUAAAAAGAGCAGUUACAAGCUGCUGCAAAUCAAAAAUGUUUCAAAGAAUCUUGGAAAUUAUUUGCACAUAUUCUUAUCUAGUUUCACAUAAUUACCACAACCUAGUUGAAAUGAAUCUCGAACAUUUUUGUUUGUACUUCAUAAUUACUGCAUCAUGUUAUGGCUGCUUUCCACAACUGAUUAGUGACUAGAUUAAAAAGAAAUAUUAAUAACAGAAGUUCUAAACUUACAUUCUUGUGUUAUUUUUGUUUUUUUUAAAUGUGGUAUAGCUUGUGACAUAACUACAAAUUUUGAGUUUAAUGCUGCAUCUGAGCACUUUUGACAGGGAUUCUGUAUUCGCUGUUUUUCCUCCUCACACAAUAAAUAUCCUGUGAUGUGAAGAGUUAUUCUCUGUGCAAAUGUGUUGGUGUGUGUGCUGGUGUUUCAUGAUGCAUGGCAAUAUUAUGGUUCACCUUCAACAUGCACUACGAUUGCAGUGAAUUUGUUUCUGCCAGGAAUAUUUUGAGCGGAAUUAUUUGUCAUUUGUAUUAGAAAGUUAGCUCAUGUGCUUUCCAGUAUGACUAGCUCAUCCAUGAAUGAUGGACAGUCAAUGUUGUAAUCUCUGAAACUCAUGGUUAUGUACUUUACAUUUUAGCUAAGAAAGUAAUUUUAGCAUUUUAUGUGAUGCUUUUAGUUAUGUAUGUAUCUUCUUUACAUAAGUAUAGUGUUUAGGGGAUGUGCAAAUGUUUACACAGAAGUAUUAUGUUAUAGAUUUCUGGAUGGGUUUUAUUAUUACUUUCGGGGAAACGAUAAUUUUAAAGGAUAUGAUAACGCUUAAAAGUUGUUCUAUAUCUAUUCGUCUGCAAUUUUGCUCCAUGAUGUGAUCAUUUAUCAUGUGCGAGCUGUGUGUGCAAUUUUAAUGUUGAUAAACAUAGUCACGAGGUAAAAUUAAAUGCUAUUACUGAUUUUUUUUAAAGCCCUUGUUGAGGUGUUUUUUAAAGGGUGUCUUCAUGUGAUAUGAAGAUUGAAAAUGGAUGCUUGGCAAAGUCUAGUAUGUUGUCCAAGAGUUGUACUUUGUGUACAGGAAGCAGAGAAAGCUGAAGAUGUUAUUAAUCAACUUGCAAUACCCUAAUUAACUUUUAAGCUGCUAAUGAUUUUAACUUUAAGUACUUUUAAGUGACAAUUUUAUCCAAUUAUAUAAAAUAAAUCAAUUGCACAGCCUCAAGAGAGUUUCUUGUGUGAAAUAAUUUGCUUUCUCUGCUUUCUUUAUAUUAUCUACAUCAAUGUGGCUAUCAAUCUCGUACAAUCUAGUCUGUUUCUUUGGCAAAUUUUUCUACCACCAUUUUCUAUACUAGUCUAGGUUUUUUCAUGAAUGCUAUUAAAGUUUUCUAGUCAGGCAAAGUUUCUUUCUCUUGUUUUGCAUCUGGAUGUAUUUUCAACUGUAAUUUUAUGUAUUCUAAUAAGGUACUUUGGUUAAAAUAAAGGUGGUUGCUUCAAAAAA